rnacentral:rRNA from 1 species
AAAUGAAUAGACGGGGACCCGCACAAGCAGCGGAGCGUGUGGUUUAAUUCGAGGCUACGCGAAGAACCUUACCAGGGUUUGACAUACGGCUGGUAGUGAGUCGAAAGAUGAACGACCUUCGGGAGGCCGUACAGGUGCUGCAUGGCUGUCGUCAGCUCGUGCCGUGAGGUGUUUGGUUAAGUCCAGUAACGAGCGCAACCCUCGUCGCUAGUUACAAGUGUCUAGCGAGACUGCCCGUGAUAAGCGGGAGGAAGGUGAGGAUGACGUCAAGUCAGCAUGGCCUUUAUAUCCUGGGCUACACACACGCUACAAUGGCCGGUACAAUGGGUUGCGAAACCGCGAGGUGGAGCCAAUCCCCCAAAGCCGGUCUCAGUUCGGAUUGCAGGCUGCAACUCGCCUGCAUGAAGUCGGAGUUGCUAGUAACCGCGCGUCAGCCACAGUGCGGUGAAUACGUUCCCGGGUCUUGUACACACCGCCCGU